UACGUAGGGGGCAAGCGUUGUCCGGAUUUAUUGGGCGUAAAGAGCGUGUAGGCGGCUUGUGAAGUCCGUUGUGAAAACUCGAGGCUCAACCUCGAGACGCCGGUGGAAACUGCAAAGCUAGAGUCCGGAAGAGGAGAGUGGAAUUCCUGGUGUAGCGGUGAAAUGCGCAGAUAUCAGGAAGAACACCCGUGGCGAAGGCGGUUCUCUGGGACGGUACUGACGCUGAGACGCGAAAGCGUGGGGAGCGAACAGG
rnacentral:rRNA from 1 species